rnacentral:SRP_RNA from 1 species
CCGUGCUAGACGGGGAGUUAGCGGUGCCCUGUAGCCCGAAAUCCGCUCAUGCGGGGUCGAAGAUCUCCACUGAGGGGGCGCGCGAAACCGCCCCAGGGCGUUCUGGAGACGAGGUGGACCUCACGUAACUGGCGCUUAUGAACCCCGUCAGGUCCGGAAGGAAGCAGCGGUAAGUAAGAUAGCCUGUGUCGUGAUGGAAUCUACCUCCUAUCUCCCGGAUCCCGAGGCGCUUCGUCGCGUUUUCGAAUGGGGAUGCACGG